rfam:Rhizobium sp. R72 R711_NODE_11, whole genome shotgun sequence.
CGGGGCGUAGCGCAGCCCGGUAGCGCACUUGACUGGGGGUCAAGGGGUCGCUGGUUCGAGUCCAGUCGCCCCGA